rnacentral:rRNA from 1 species
CUCAGGACGAACGCUGGCGGCGUGCCUAAUACAUGCAAGUCGAGCGAACUAAUGGGAGCUUGCUCCCAGAGGUUAGCGGCGGACGGGUGAGUAACACGUGGGCAACCUGCCCUGUAGAUCGGGAUAACAUCGAGAAAUCGGUGCUAAUACCGGAUAAUUUCUGAGAUCUCAUGGUCUUAGAGUAAAAGAUGGCUCCGGCUAUCACUACGGGAUGGGCCCGCGGCGCAUUAGCUAGUUGGUAAGGUAACGGCUCACCAAGGCGACGAUGCGUAGCCGACCUGAGAGGGUGAUCGGCCACACUGGGACUGAGACACGGCCCAGACUCCUACGGGAGGCAGCAGUAGGGAAUCUUCCGCAAUGGACGAAAGUCUGACGGAGCAACGCCGCGUGAGUGAUGAAGGAUUUCGGUUCGUAAAGCUCUGUUGUUAGGGAAGAACAAGUGUCGUUCAAAUAGGGCGGCACC